UCAUCUUGUUCCAAGCAGCUCAACCCUGGAUUUUGAGAACCCAUGGCCCGAAAACUCCGAACAAAAAAAAAAGAAAGUACUUUCUCGCCUCUGCAAUUCCAAGGAUGACCGCUGCCAUCGCACCAAUCUCCACCACCCACCGCCCACCGGCGCACACUUGAUCUCACCGCCCAGCGCCGCACACUUCCUCCGCGGCAUGGGGCAACCUCAAUUGUGAGAAGAACAUCUAAUCCUCCAUUCGUUAGAAGAAGAUCUAGUCGAUUUGGAGCAAGAAAUCGAGAGAAAAU
rnacentral:lncRNA from 1 species